AUUGAACGCUGGCGGCAGGCCUAACACAUGCAAGUCGAGCGGAUGAAGAGAGCUUGCUCUGUGGGUGGCGAGUGGCGGACGGGUGAGGAAUACGUGGGAAUCUGCCCAGUCGUGGGGGAUAACGUAGGGAAACUUACGCUAAUACCGCAUGCGCCCUUCGGGGGAAAGCCGGGGACCUUCGGGCCUGGCGCGAUUGGAUGAGCCCACGUCGGAGUAGCUAGUUGGCGGGGUAAAGGCCCACCAAGGCGACGAUCCGUAGCUGGUCUGAGAGGAUGAUCAGCCACACUGGAACUGAGACACGGUCCAGACUCCUACGGGAGGCAGCAGUAGGGAAUAUUGGACAAUGGGCGCAAGCCUGAUCCAGCCAUGCCGCGUGAGUGAAGAAGGCCCUCGGGUUGUAAAGCUCUUUUGUCCGGAAAGAAAAGCGCCGGGUUAAUACCCUGGUGUCCUGACGGUACCGGAAGAAUAAGCACCGGCUAACUUCGUGCCAGCCGCCGCGGUAAGAC
rnacentral:rRNA from 1 species